AGCUUUGCGCAGUGGCAGUAUCGUAGCCAAUGAGGUUUAUCCGAGGCGCGAUUAUUGCUAAUUAAAAUGAAAUAAAAACAGUUUGAGCUUCUCUGUUACACUACGCACAUUUCAAGCAUUUGGCAGCCACAUGUGG